UCCCCCGCCACCGCACGCACAUCUUCUCCCCCGCCGCCGUCGCCGCCCCACCGCCGCACCGCGCCGUGCCGCACGCACAUCUCUCCUGAGUCCCGGCCGCCGCGCAUCUCUCUCUCCCGGCAGCAAUCAUAGGGAAUCCCGGCCGUACGCACGCACAUCUCUCUCGAGUCCCGGCCGCACGCGCAUCUCUCACUCCCGCCGCCGCGCAUCUCUCUCCCGGCCGUCGCACAACGUCUGGUCGCGAGAGGAUGUCUUUUUCUACGAGAGGAGGCUGGCCAUCGGUGCCCUCGUGGAGAAGCACAACCCGGAUGUGAUCUUCUUCAAGCGGCAGGCGGCGGCCAGGUGCUGAGCUGUGGGCGGCGGCGGACGCGGCCUGUGGUGGUGCGCGGUGGCGGCAGGGUGCAGAGCUGUGCGCCCACUGCCGUGCGUGACGGCCAUGUCGGCGGCGAACGUGGCCGGCUAGUGGUGCGCGGUGGUGGCGGGUGCGGAGCUGUGCGCGGCGGCCAUGUCGGCGGCGGCGGACGUGGCCUCCUGGUGGUGCGUGGUGGCGCUGGGUGCGCUCGUGCUGCUAGCGCGCGCUGCGUGCAGAGGCCGCAGGUGAUGGCGCUGCGUGCAAGGAAGUGUGCGUGGAUGGGGACAGCAAGACGCUGCACAGCAUUAGCUCCUUGCCGGCGAGCUUGCCGUGGCCGAGGAAGACGUCUAGAUGAUGACAUGAUGUGCUGGUGGCUGCUUUGUUUGUGCCUCCCACUUAAUGCUGGAAUUUAGGAUUGUAUUGGAUGGAUAUGGAUUAAAUGGAUUAGGAUUGGAGUGGAUUGGAUUUCAGAGACUAAUUGUUAGAAUUGAACUGGAUGGAUGCUAAUUUUACAUGGAUUUCAAUUGGAUUCA